rnacentral:misc_RNA from 1 species
UUAAGUUCAGCGGGUAUCCCUACCUGAUCCGAGGUCAACCUGUAAAAAAUGGGGGUUGCUGGCCAGCAUCCGCCUGAGCCCUGUAGCGAGAGAUGUACUACGCUGAGAGCCAGACGCGCCGCCACUGGUUUUAGGGCACACCGGGUGACCGGUGACGCCCAACACAAGCAGAGCUUGAGGGUUGUAAUGACGCUCGAACA